rnacentral:rRNA from 1 species
GCUGUUCGCCCAUUAAAGCGGUACGCGAGCUGGGUUCAGAACGUCGUGAGACAGUUCGGUCCCUAUCCGUCGUGGGCGUAGGAAAUUUGAGAGGAGCUGUCCUUAGUACGAGAGGACCGGGAUGGACGCACCGCUGGUGUACCAGUUGUUCUGCCAAGGGCAUAGCUGGGUAGCUAUGUGCGGAAGGGAUAAGUGCUGAAAGCAUCUAAGCAUGAAGCCCCCCUCAAGAUGAGAUUUCCCAUAGCGUAAGCUAGUAAGAUCCCUGAAAGAUGAUCAGGUUGAUAGGUUCGAGGUGGAAGCAUGGUGACAUGUGGAGCUGACGAAUACUAAUAGAUCGAGGACUUAACCAUAUAA